AUUGAACGCUGGCGGCAGGCCUAACACAUGCAAGUCGAGCGGCAGCGGAAAGUAGCUUGCUACUUUGCCGGCGAGCAGCGGACGGGUGAGUAAUGUCUGGGAAACUGCCUGAUGGAGGGGGAUAACUACUGGAAACGGUAGCUAAUACCGCAUAACGUCGCAAGACCAAAGAGGGGGACCUUCGGGCCUCUUGCCAUCAGAUGUGCCCAGAGGGGAUUAGCUAGUAGGUGGGGUAACGGCUCACCUAGGCGACGAUCCCUAGCUGGUCUGAGAGGAUGACCAGCCACACUGGAACUGAGACACGGUCCAGACUCCUACGGGAGGCAGCAGUGGGGAAUAUUGCACAAUGGGCGCAAGCCUGAUGCAGCCAUGCCGCGUGUAUGAAGAAGGCCUUCGGGUUGUAAAGUACUUUCAGCGGGGAGGAAGGUGUUGAGGUUAAUAACCUCAGCAAUUGACGUUACCCGCAGAAGAAGCACCGGCUAACUCCGUGCCAGCAGCCGCCGCCG
rnacentral:rRNA from 1 species